rnacentral:rRNA from 1 species
UACGUAGGGUGCAAGCGUUGUCCGGAAUUAUUGGGCGUAAAGAGCGUGUAGGCGGCCCGGUAAGUCCGUUGUGAAAGUCAAAGGCUCAACCUUUGAAAGCCGAUGGAUACUGCCGGGCUGGAGUCCGGAAGAGGCGAGUGGAAUUCCUGGUGUAGCGGUGGAAUGCGCAGAUAUCAGGAGGAACACCAAUAGCGAAGGCAGCUCGCUGGGACGGUACUGAGCUGAGGCGCGAAAGCGUGGGGAGCGAACAGG